CCCUUAGAUGUUCUGGGCAGCACGCGCGCUACAAUGGUCUUCGCAAACGGAUGCAUUCUCGAAGGAGGAUGCCAAUCUUGGAAUCUAUGCCUUGGUCGGGACAGUUGCUUGCAAUUUUUCGACUCGAACCAGGAAUUCCUUGUAAUCGUGAUUCAUCACAUCACGAUGAAUACGUCCCUGCCCUUUGUACACACCGCCCGUCGCCCCUACCGAUCGAAGAGUUAGGUGAAUUGUUUUGAUCGAUAAGAUUUGACUAUGGUCAACUCUCGUUGUGAAAUUCUGUGAAUCUGACUGUUUAGAGGAAGGAAAAGUCGUAACA
rnacentral:rRNA from 1 species